rnacentral:rRNA from 1 species
CCUACGGGAGGCAGCAGUGGGGAAUUUUGCGCAAUGGGGGAAACCCUGACGCAGCAACACCGCGUGCGGGAUGACGGCCCUCGGGUUGUAAACCGCUUUCAGCAGGGAAGAUAUUGACGGUACCUGCAGAAGAAGCUCCGGCUAACUACGUGCCAGCAGCCGCGGUAAUACGUAGGGAGCGAGCGUUAUCCGGAUUCAUUGGGCGUAAAGCGCGCGUAGGCGGCUGCCUAAGCGGAACCUCUAACCCCGGGGCUCAACCUCGGGCCGGGUUCCGAACUGGGCGGCUCGAGUGCGGUAGAGGAGAGCGGAAUUCCCGGUGUAGCGGUGGAAUGCGCAGAUAUCGGGAAGAACACCGAUGGCGAAGGCAGCUCACUGGACUGCAACUGACACUGAGGCUCGAAAGUGUGGGUAUCAAACAGGAUUAGAUACCCCUGUAGUC